rnacentral:rRNA from 1 species
UACGAGGGGGGCGAGCGUUGUUCGGAAUUAUUGGGCGUAAAGGGUGCGUAGGCGGCCUGACAAGUCUGAUGUGAAAUCCCUGGGCUCAACCCAGGGCCUGCAUCGGAAACUGUCGGGCUUGAGUAUGGGAGAGGUGAGUGGAAUUUCCGGUGUAGCGGUGAAAUGCGUAGAUAUCGGAAGGAACACCUGUGGCGAAAGCGGCUCACUGGACCAUUACUGACGCUGAGGCACGAAGCUAGGGAGCAAACAGGAGUUAGA